AUUUCACCUGGCUGCUAUUUAGUACAUCAUUUUCCCAUGGAGGGAAAAUGCAUUCUGAUUUCAAUUAGGGACAGUGAGUUCCCUCCUGCUCCAAGGGAUGCCAUGAUUAGGUUUUCUACUGUAGAGCUGGCAGGUUUAUAUGCACAGAAAUGUGCUGUGAUGGAGCAACAAGAGCAAGGAGUCUGUGAACAAUGAAAAAAGAAAGCUGAUGGGAAAUACUAUCAUUCUGAAAAGCUGCCAAGCAACUAAUCUCAUCCAACUUGAACCUUUGCCUUUGAAGCAUGAGCAGAUGAGACCAAAUAGUUAAAUUCAGUCACUCAGUUGUGUCCGACUCAUUGUGACCCCAUGGACUGCAGCACACCAG